GGGGGGGGGGGGGGGGGGGCGUGGGGGAGGCGUGUCGGGCGGAGCGGGCCCGGUGGGGGUACUGGGGUGGCGAGUGGGUGAGUGACACGUGAGUACCGUGCGCUUGACUUCGGGAGAACUUCAGUAAACUGGUGCGAAUCCCGGGUAGGACUCCUUGCUGCAUUGUUUGUUUUGGAGAGCUUCGGCGGUUUUGGAUUGUAUCUCGGCUUAUCAGCUUGUUUGUGGGGUAGUGGCUUACCAAGUCUUUGAAGGGUAGCCGGCAUGAGAGGGCGAGCGGCCACAUUGGGACUGAGAUACGGCCCAGACUCCUACGGGAGGCAGCAGGGGGGAAUAUGGCACAAUGGGCGGAAGCCUGAUGCAGCAACGCCGCGUGCGGGAUGACGGCCUUCGGGUUGUAAACCGCUUUCAGCAGGGGCGAAGCUUGUGGUGACGGUACCUGCAGAAGAAGCACCGGCUAACUACGUG
rnacentral:rRNA from 1 species